UCUCGCCUGUUUAUCAAAAACAUAGCUUGAAGCAUAUAUUUUAGGUGAAAUCUGCUCAAUGUACAAAUAAAUAGCCGCGGUACUUUGACCGUGCUAAGGUAGCAUAAUAAGUUGGCUUUUAAAUGGGGUCGGGUAUGAAUGAAGAAACGUAGCUUAGCUGUCUCAGAUUUAUUUUUUUGAAUUUACUGUGUAGAUGAAAAAGUCUACUAGAAUAUAAAAGACGAGAAGACCCUUAGAAUUUUAAUGAUAUUGGAAAUAUUUUCGAAAUAUUUUUGUUGGGGCGACACAGAAACAAUCAAACUUUCUGAGAAUUACAUGACGAUUUUAUUAAGAUUGGUUAAAUUACCUGAGGGAUAACAGCAUAAUUAUAUAAAUUAGUUUGUGACCUCGAUGUUGGACUAGGAAAUUAGUAGAUUAGCCGUUUACUAUAUUGGUUCUG
rnacentral:rRNA from 1 species